UACGAAGGGGGCUAGCGUUGCUCGGAAUCACUGGGCGUAAAGCGCACGUAGGCGGCUUUCUAAGUCAGGGGUGAAAUCCUGGAGCUCAACUCCAGAACUGCCUUUGAUACUGGAGAGCUUGAGUCCGGGAGAGGUGAGUGGAACUGCGAGUGUAGAGGUGAAAUUCGUAGAUAUUCGCAAGAACACCAGUGGCGAAGGCGGCUCACUGGCCCGGUACUGACGCUGAGGCGCGAAAGCGUGGGGAGCAAACAGG
rnacentral:rRNA from 1 species